rnacentral:tRNA from 1 species
CCCGGCUUAGCUCAGUUGGUAGAGCGGCGGACUGUAGAGGGAACACGGGGUGAAACCGCCGUAAUCCGCAGGUCUCUGGUUCGAAUCCGGAAGCCGGGA